UAAUACAGAGGUGGCAAGCGUUGUUCGGAAUUACUGGGCGUAAAGGGCGCGUAGGCGGUCCUACAAGUCCCGCGUGAAAGCCCCCGGCUCAACUGGGGAACUGCGCGGGAAACUGUAGGGCUUGAGUUCGGGAGAGGGAAGCGGAAUUCCGGGUGUAGCGGUGAAAUGCGUAGAUAUCCGGAGGAACACCGGUGGCGAAGGCGGCUUCCUGGACCGACACUGACGCUGAGGCGCGAAAGCUAGGGGAGCAAACGGGAUUAGAUACCCCGGUAGUCCUAGCUGUAAACGAUGAGUGCUGGGUGUAGGAGGUAUCAACCCCUCCUGUGCCGAAGCUAACGCAUUAAGCACUCCGCCUGGGGAGUACGGUCGCAAGGCUG
rnacentral:rRNA from 1 species